rnacentral:rRNA from 1 species
GACGAACGCUGGCGGCGUGCCUAACACAUGCAAGUCGAGCGAGUAAAUCUCCUUCGGGAGUGAAGCUAGCGGCGGACGGUGAGUAACACGUGGGCAACCUGCCUCAUAGAGGGAAUAGCCUUCCGAAGGAAGAUUAAUACCGCAUAAGAUUGUAGCUUCGCAUGAAGUAGCAAUUAAAGGAGCAAUCCGCUAUGAGAUGGGCCCGCGGCGCAUUAGCUAGUUGGUGAGGUAACGGCGUCACCAAGGCGACGAUGCGUAGCCGACCUGAGAGGGUGAUCGGCCACGAUUGGGACUGAGACACGGCCCAGACUCCUACGGGAGGCAGCAGUGGGAAUAUUGCACAAUGGGGAAACCCUGAUGCAGCAACGCCGCGUGAGUGAUGACGGCCU